rnacentral:rRNA from 1 species
GGGUUGUGAGGUUAAGCGACUAAGCGUACACGGUGGAUGCCCUGGCAGUCAGAGGCGAUGAAGGACGUGCUAAUCUGCGAUAAGCGUCGGUGAGGUGAUAUGAACCGUUAUAACCGGCGAUUUCCGAAUGGGGAAACCCAGUGUGUUUCGACACACUAUCAUUAACUGAAUCCAUAGGUUAAUGAGGCGAACCGGGGGAACUGAAACAUCUAAGUACCCCGAGGAAAAGAAAUCAACCGAGAUUCCCCCAGUAGCGGCGAGCGAACGGGGAGGAGCCCAGAGCCUGAAUCAGUGUGUGUGUUAGUGGAAGCGUCUGGAAAGGCGYGCGAUACAGGGUGACAGCCCCGUACACAAAAAUGCACAUAUUGUGAGCUCGAUGAGUAGGGCGGGACACGUGGUAUCCUGUCUGAAUAUGGGGGGACCAUCCUCCAAGGCUAAAUACUCCUGACUGACCGAUAGUGAACCAGUACCGUGAGGGAAAGGCGAAAAGAACCCCGGCGAGGGGAGUGAAAAAGAACCUGAAACCGUGUACGUACAAGCAGUGGGAGCCUCUUAAUGGGGUGACUGCGUACCUUUUGUAUAAUGGGUCAGCGACUUAUAUUCUGUAGCAAGGUUAACCGAAUAGGGGAGCCGAAGGGAAACCGAGUCUUAACUGGGCGUUAAGUUGCAGGGUAUAGACCCGAAACCCGGUGAUCUAGCCAUGGGCAGGUUGAAGGUUGGGUAACACUAACUGGAGGACCGAACCGACUAAUGUUGAAAAAUUAGCGGAUGACUUGUGGCUGGGGGUGAAAGGCCAAUCAAACCGGGAGAUAGCUGGUUCUCCCCGAAAGCUAUUUAGGUAGCGCCUCGUGAAUUCAUCUCCGGGGGUAGAGCACUGUUUCGGCAAGGGGGUCAUCCCGACUUACCAACCCGAUGCAAACUGCGAAUACCGGAGAAUGUUAUCACGGGAGACACACGGCGGGUGCUAACGUCCGUCGUGAAGAGGGAAACAACCCAGACCGCCAGCUAAGGUCCCAAAGUCAUGGUUAAGUGGGAAACGAUGUGGGAAGGCCCAGACAGCCAGGAUGUUGGCUUAGAAGCAGCCAUCAUUUAAAGAAAGCGUAAUAGCUCACUGGUCGAGUCGGCCUGCGCGGAAGAUGUAACGGGGCUAAACCAUGCACCGAAGCUGCGGCAGCGACACUAUGUGUUGUUGGGUAGGGGAGCGUUCUGUAAGCCUGUGAAGGUGGCCUGUGAGGGUUGCUGGAGGUAUCAGAAGUGCGAAUGCUGACAUAAGUAACGAUAAAGCGGGUGAAAAGCCCGCUCGCCGGAAGACCAAGGGUUCCUGUCCAACGUUAAUCGGGGCAGGGUGAGUCGACCCCUAAGGCGAGGCCGAAAGGCGUAGUCGAUGGGAAACAGGUUAAUAUUCCUGUACUUGGUGUUACUGCGAAGGGGGGACGGAGAAGGCUAUGUUGGCCGGGCGACGGUUGUCCCGGUUUAAGCGUGUAGGCUGGUUUUCCAGGCAAAUCCGGAAAACCAAGGCUGAGGCGUGAUGACGARGCACUACGGUGCUGAAGCRACAAAUGCCCUGCUUCCAGGAAAAGCCUCUAAGCAUCAGGUAACAUCAAAUCGUACCCCAAACCGACACAGGUGGUCAGGUAGAGAAUACCAAGGCGCUUGAGAGAACUCGGGUGAAGGAACUAGGCAAAAUGGUGCCGUAACUUCGGGAGAAGGCACGCUGAUAUGUAGGUGAAGCGACUUGCUCGUGGAGCUGAAAUCAGUCGAAGAUACCAGCUGGCUGCAACUGUUUAUUAAAAACACAGCACUGUGCAAACACGAAAGUGGACGUAUACGGUGUGACGCCUGCCCGGUGCCGGAAGGUUAAUUGAUGGGGUUAGCGGUAACGCGAAGCUCUUGAUCGAAGCCCCGGUAAACGGCGGCCGUAACUAUAACGGUCCUAAGGUAGCGAAAUUCCUUGUCGGGUAAGUUCCGACCUGCACGAAUGGCGUAAUGAUGGCCAGGCUGUCUCCACCCGAGACUCAGUGAAAUUGAACUCGCUGUGAAGAUGCAGUGUACCCGCGGCAAGACGGAAAGACCCCGUGAACCUUUACUAUAGCUUGACACUGAACAUUGAGCCUUGAUGUGUAGGAUAGGUGGGAGGCUUUGAAGUGUGGACGCCAGUCUGCAUGGAGCCGACCUUGAAAUACCACCCUUUAAUGUUUGAUGUUCUAACGUURGCCCGUAAUCCGGGUUGCGGACAGUGUCUGGUGGGUAGUUUGACUGGGGCGGUCUCCUCCUAAAGAGUAACGGAGGAGCACGAAGGUUGGCUAAUCCUGGUCGGACAUCAGGAGGUUAGUGCAAUGGCAUAAGCCAGCUUGACUGCGAGCGUGACGGCGCGAGCAGGUGCGAAAGCAGGUCAUAGUGAUCCGGUGGUUCUGAAUGGAAGGGCCAUCGCUCAACGGAUAAAAGGUACUCCGGGGAUAACAGGCUGAUACCGCCCAAGAGUUCAUAUCGACGGCGGUGUUUGGCACCUCGAUGUCGGCUCAUCACAUCCUGGGGCUGAAGUAGGUCCCAAGGGUAUGGCUGUUCGCCAUUUAAAGUGGUACGCGAGCUGGGUUUAGAACGUCGUGAGACAGUUCGGUCCCUAUCUGCCGUGGGCGCUGGAGAACUGAGGGGGGCUGCUCCUAGUACGAGAGGACCGGAGUGGACGCAUCACUGGUGUUCGGGUUGUCAUGCCAAUGGCACUGCCCGGUAGCUAAAUGCGGAAGAGAUAAGUGCUGAAAGCAUCUAAGCACGAAACUUGCCCCGAGAUGAGUUCUCCCUGAGACUNCCUCGAUGUCGGCUCAUCACAUCCUGGGGCUGAAGUAGGUCCCAAGGGUAUGGCUGUUCGCCAUUUAAAGUGGUACGCGAGCUGGGUUUAGAACGUCGUGAGACAGUUCGGUCCCUAUCUGCCGUGGGCGCUGGAGAACUGAGGGGGGCUGCUCCUAGUACGAGAGGACCGGAGUGGACGCAUCACUGGUGUUCGGGUUGUCAUGCCAAUGGCACUGCCCGGUAGCUAAAUGCGGAAGAGAUAAGUGCUGAAAGCAUCUAAGCACGAAACUUGCCCCGAGAUGAGUUCUCCCUGAGACUUAGAGUCUCCUGAAGGAACGUUGAAGACGACGACGUUGAUAGGCCGGGUGUGUAAGCGCAGCGAUGCGUUGAGCUAACCGGUACUAAUGAACCGUGAGGCUUAACCUUACAACGCCGAAG